AGCAGCCGCGGUAAUUCCAGCUCCAAUAGCGUAUAUUAAAGUUGUUGCAGUUAAAAAGCUCGUAGUUGAAUUUCGGGAUUGACACAUCGGUCGUGCCUUAAGGGGUAUGAACUGGUGUAGCCAAUUUCUCACCUUCUGGAGAACCGCGAUGCCCUUAAUUGGGUGUCACGGGGAACCAGGACCUUUACUUUGAAAAAAUUAGAGUGUUUAAAGCAGGCAUUUUGCUUGAAUACAUUAGCAUGGAAUAAUAAAAUAGGACGGCAUGAUUCUAUUUUGUUGGUUUCUAGGAUCACCGUAAUGAUUAAUAGGGAUAGUUGGGGGCAUUAGUAUUCAAUUGUCAGAGGUGAAAUUCUUGGAUUUAUUGAAGACUAACUACUGCGAAAGCAUUUGCCAAGGAUGUUUUCAUUAAUCAAGAACGAAAGUUAGGGGAUCGAAGACGAUCAGAUACCGUCGUAGUCUUAACCAUAAACUAUGCCGACUAGGAAUCAGACGAUGUUAAUUUUUUAAU
rnacentral:sRNA from 1 species